GACGAACGCUGGCGGCGUGCUUAACACAUGCAAGUCGAACGGAAAGGCCCUGCUUUUGUGGGGUGCUCGAGUGGCGAACGGGUGAGUAACACGUGAGUAACCUUCCCUUGACUUUGGGAUAACUUCAGGAAACUUGGGCUAAUACCGGAUAGGAGCUCCUGCUGCAUGGUGGGGGUUGGAAAGUUUCGGCGGUUGGGGAUGGACUCGCGGCUUAUCAGCUUGUUGGUGGGGUAGUGGCUUACCAAGGCUUUGACGGGUAGCCGGCCUGAGAGGGUGACCGGCCACAUUGGGACUGAGAUACGGCCCAGACUCCUACGGGAGGCAGCAGUGGGGAAUAUUGCACAAUGGGCGGAAGCCUGAUGCAGCAACGCCGCGUGCGGGAUGACGGCCUUCGGGUUGUAAACCGCUUUCGCCUGUGACGAAGCGUGAGUGACGGUAAUGGGUAAAGAAGCACCGGCUAACUACGUG
rnacentral:rRNA from 1 species